rnacentral:rRNA from 1 species
AUCAACUUUCGAUGGUAGGAUAGAGGCCUACCAUGGUGGUAACGGGUAACGGGGUGUUAGGGCACGACACCGGAGAGGGAGCCUGAGAAACGGCUACCACAUCCAAGGAUGGCAGCAGGCGCGCAAAUUACCCAAUCCCGACACGGGGAGGUAGUGACAAUAAAUAACAAUACGGGGUUCUUUAGGAUCUCGUAAUUGGAAUGAGUACAAUUUAAAUCUCUUAACGAGGAACAAUUGGAGGGCAAGUCUGGUGCCAGCAGCCGCGGUAAUUCCAGCUCCAAUAGCGUAUAUUAAAGUUGUUGCAGUUAAAAAGCUCGUAGUUGAACUUCGGGGUUUACCCAUUGGUCAGGCUUAAUUGUCUGUACUGGUGAGAUAAAUCUCUACCUUCUGAGGAACUUUCAUGUCAUUAAUUUGGUGUGAUUGGAAAUCAGGACUGUUACUUUGAAAAAAUUAGAGUGUUUAAAGCAGGCUAACGUCUGAAUACAUUAGCAUGGAAUAAUGAAAUAGGACGGACUGAUUCUAUUUCGUUGGUUUCUAGGAUCACCGUAAUGAUUAAUAGGGAUAGUUGGGGGCAUUAGUAUUCAAUUGUCAGAGGUGAAAUUCUUGGAUUUAUUGAAGACUAACUACUGCGAAAGCAUUUGCCAAGGAUGUUUUCAUUAAUCAAGAACGAAAGUUAGGGGAUCGAAGACGAUCAGAUACCGUCGUAGUCUUAACCAUAAACUAUGCCGACUAGGGAUCGGACGAAGUUAAUUUUAUAAUGACGCGUUCGGCACCUUACGGGAAACCAAAGUGUUUGGGUUC